rnacentral:rRNA from 1 species
UACGUAGGGUGCGAGCGUUGUCCGGAAUUACUGGGCGUAAAGAGCUCGUAGGUGGUUUGUCGCGUUGUUCGUGAAAACUCACAACUCAAUUGUGGGCGUGCGGGCGAUACGGGCAGACUGGAGUACUGCAGGGGAGACUGGAAUUCCUGGUGUAGCGGUGGAAUGCGCAGAUAUCAGGAGGAACACCGGUGGCGAAGGCGGGUCUCUGGGCAGUAACUGACGCUGAUGCGCGAAAGCGUGGGGAGCGAACAGG